GAAACACUCAGAGAAUCUUCACCCUAAGCUUGCUCGAGAUCUUGCUGAAGUGAAAUCAUCUUUCGCUACUGCUUUAAAAGAACUUGAAAGAGAACGCGAGGCACGGGGUAUGCUAGAAGAAUUAUGUGAUGAGUUUGCCUACGGAAUUAAGGAGUAUGAAGAAGAAGUUCGAUUCUUGAAAAGCAAAGUGAGAAAGGAUCAAAUAUUGACUGAAGAGAAGGAUGGAUUGGUCAUUCAUAUUUCUGAAGCCUGGUUAGA
rnacentral:misc_RNA from 1 species